AACGAACGCUGGCGGCAGGCUUAACACAUGCAAGUCGAACGCUCGUAGCAAUACGGGAGUGGCAGACGGGUGAGUAACGCGUGGGAACAUACCCUCCGGUUCGGAAUAGCUCAGGGAAACUUGGAUUAAUACCGGAUACGGCUGAGAGGCGAAAGAUUUAUCGCCGGAGGAUUGGCCCGCGUUCGAUUAGCUAGUUGGUGAGGUAAUGGCUCACCAAGGCGAUGAUCGAUAGCUGGUCUGAGAGGAUGAUCAGCCACAUUGGGACUGAGACACGGCCCAAACUCCUACGGGAGGCAGCAGUGGGGAAUAUUGGACAAUGGGCGCAAGCCUGAUCCAGCCAUGCCGCGUGAGUGAUGACGGCCUUAGGGUUGUAAAGCUCUUUCGCUCGGGACGAUAAUGACGGUACCGAGAUAAGAAGCCCCGGCUAACUUCGUGCCAGCCGCCGCCGUAACAC
rnacentral:rRNA from 1 species